GAGAGAGAGACAAGGAGAGAGAGACAGGUACACAGAGACAAGGGGAGAGAGAGAGAGAGAGACAGGUACACAGAGACAAAGAGAGAGAGACAGGUACACAGAGACAAGGGGAGAGAGAGAGAGACAAGGAGAGAGAGAGACAGGUACAGAGACAAGGGGAGAGAGAGAGACAAGGAGAGAGAGAGAGAGACAAGGAGAGAGAGAGAGACAAGGAGAGAGAGAGAGAGAGAGAGAGAGAGAGAGAGAGAAGGAGAGAGAGAGAGAGACAGGUACACAGAGACAAAGAGAGAGAGACAAGGGGGAGAGAGAGAGAGAGACAAGGAGAGAGAGAGACAGGUACACAGAGACAAGGGGGGAGAGAGAGAGACAGGUACACAGAGACAAGGGGAGAGAGAGAGACAAGGAGAGAGAGAUAGACAAGGAGAGAGAGAGACAAGGAGAGAGAGAGAGAGACAGGUACACAGAGACAAAGAGAGAGAGACAAGGGGAGAGAGAGAGAGACAAGGAGAGAGAGAGACAGGUACACAGAGACAAGGGGAGAGAGAGAGACAGGUAGACAGAGACAAGGGGAGAGAGAGAGAGACAAGAAGAGAGAGACAGGUACACAGAGACAAGGGGAGAGAGAGACAAGGAGAGAGAGAGAGAGAGAGAGAGA